UAACCAAAGUGUGUAUGUCUUACCUAACAGGCACACCAUAUAUAAAUAUGAUGGAUAAGCAGUGAGUGUGUAAAGACCUUGUGACUAUUGAAUGUUUUGUAAAAGGUACGUAUCCAAAAUAAUUAAAAUCAGGACCUCAAAGAACUAUCUGCACUUCCAUGUUCAUUGCAGCAUUAUUCAUAAUAGCCCAAAUGUGGAAACCAUCUAAAUGCUCAUUGACAGAUGAAUGGAUAAAGAAAAUGUGGCACAUAUAUACCAUCAAAUAUUAUUUAGCCUUAACACAGCAGAAAAUCCUGCCAUAUGCAAAAACAUGACUGAACCUACAGGAUGUUAUGGUAAGUGAAAUGAACCAAUCACAGAAGGAUAAACCCUACAUGGUUCCACUUCCUAAAGCAGGCAGACUUGUACAGAGAGUAGAGAGAGGUGCUUGCCAGGGGCUUGGGAGAAGGGGAAAUGGAAGGCGUUCCAUGGGUACAAAGUUUCAGUUGUGCAAAAUGAAAUAAGUUCUAGAUAUUUGCUGUAUCCUACUGUGCUUUCAGUUAACAAGACUUAAACAUUUAUGGAGAGGGUAGAUCUCAUGUUAAGUGUUCUUAUCACAAAAAAAAGAAAGAAAGAAAAGAAAGUUCGUAGUUAUGUUUAGUUAUGUUUUUUUCCCUGUUUUAUUUAGUACCUACUGAGGGAUUCCUUUUUUUUUUUCUUUUUUUAAGAUGGAGUUUCACUCUGUUGCCCAGGCAGGAGUGCAGCAGCAUAAUCUCAGCUCACUGCAACCUCUGCCUCCUGGAUUCAAGCAAGUCUCCUGCCUCAGCCUCCUAAGGAGCUGGGGUUACAGGCAUGCGCCACCACACCUGGCUAAUAUUUGUAUUUUUAGUAGAGACGGGGUUUCACCAUGUUGGCCAGGCUGGUCUCGAACUUCUGGCCUCAAAUGAUCCACCCGCCUCAGCCUCCCAAAAUACUGGGAUUAAAGGUGUGAGCCACCAUGCCUGGCCACCUUUUAUCUAUUGUUGAUGCAUUCCUUGCUACUAAACAGCAUCCUAGAUUUCCUUAUUCCUCCACUGUUGAUAAUGUAAUAGUUGAUCUAAAUACAGUAGAUAUCUGAUCUCUCUUUCACAGAAAGUCACUGGGGUGUGUGAUGGGAAGUGUAAAGUAAGUAUCGGUGAUGGUUUCACCAUAACAGGUGAUAUGAUAUCCACUGUCCACGUCAUCCAAAACCUAAGUUUGUUUGGCUUCAGAGUUGCAGGACAUUCCAAUUAUUCCACCUUUCUCAGCUUCCUACCCUUCGUGAUCCACUCCAGCCAACAUGCAAGGAGAAUCUGGGGGAGUAAAGGAGGGCAAAUUGGAAAAUGUCGCUUCUGUUACCCAGUCUCUUGCAUUUUGUUGCCCAUUUUGGCCUUAAUAAAAUUUUGAUCAAAAUUUAAAAAUUAGGAAUAUGUGUGUUUCACCAUUUAUCUGUGAAGGAAAGAAUCCUGCCUUAUGCCUAAAAAUAUUUUAAUAAUGUGGUAACAUUACCCCUAAUAAUAGAACCUGCCUACGCACCAACACAAUUCCAAUCUAAGAGUUAGUCAUAUCCUCCCAUCAAGACACUGUGUGCAGAUUUUCUUCAGCCAUAUUCAGAUGGGAUUUCAGGUUCCAGUCUGAAGACAAAGAGAUUAUAGAUCAGAAGAGACAUCUAAUUUCAACUAAAUCAUGCUUGCAAACAAAGCCACACACACACACACACACACACACACACACACACACACGAAACCCUGCCUGUUUUCAUUUUUAUUAUCCCAUGUGGCACUACCCAGAUAAGAAAAUAACUAAAAUAAAUAUUUUCCAUUAACCAUUGGCAUAAAUCAUGAUUUACUCUCACAGGUAUCUCAACAGUACCCACACCGGUGAUAGGACUGAUAAUGUUGAUUGACUGUUUACUAUCUGCCAUGCACUUCUAGAAGAGCUUGACUUGGGUUUUCUCAUUUGUUUCUCAAAACAUUCUUAUGAGACAGACACUAUUAUUAUCCCCACAUUACAGAUGAGGAUACCAAGGCACCACAGAGCUAAGUGGUCGAGCCGGGAGUGGGCACCACCCAAUCCAGCUUGUGCUACUGAACACCUGCUCUCUGAUCACUGGAAUCCUGGCAGUUUGAUGGGAGAGACCUACUUCAAAAAAUGCACAGUGCCAUCAAUGAUGGAGCUGACAAUAAUCACAAAUAACAACAACUGAAUGUGUCUGUCCUUUCAAUCAAGCACAGCCCAUGACACUGAUCCCCAGACCCUGGAAGGUUUUCUGACUUUGAAUAAAAUAACAACUUCUAGAUCUUGUCCUGGGCCAUGGUCUGUCUGCUCUGUGACCUCCAGAUGAUGGAGAACUCCCGACCCAUUUCCUCUUGGUGGGAUGAGGUACCAAAACAUCAUGCCUCGAAAUCAUUCAGGAUGCAUCUUUUUAAAAAAUCUCAGUGAGCAACGCUAAAGAAGAGAGACCACAAGCUCUAGACGUUUUCCUGUAUAAUUAAGAAGAAUCUGUUCAACAAACCCCCAUGACAUAAGCUUAUCUAUAUAACAAACCUGCACAUGUGCCCCUGAACCUAAAAUAAAAGCUUUUUUAAAAAAGAAAAA
rnacentral:lncRNA from 1 species